GAGUGAAGCGGCAACAGCUCAAAUUUGAAAUCUGAUCUCUUCGAGGUCCGAGUUGUAAUUUGUAGAGGGCGCUUUGGUGUUGGCUGCGGUCUAAGUUCCUUGGAACAGGACGUCAUAGAGGGUGAGAAUCCCGUCUGUGGUCGCAUGUCUUCACCGUGUAAAGCCCCUUCGACGAGUCGAGUUGUUUGGGAAUGCAGCUCUAAAUGGGAGGUAAAUUUCUUCUAAAGCUAAAUACUGGCCAGAGACCGAUAGCGCACAAGUAGAGUGAUCGAAAGAUGAAAAGCACUUUGGAAAGAGAGUUAAAAAGCACGUGAAAUUGUUGAAAGGGAAGCGCUUGCAGCCAGACUUGCUUGCAGUUGCUCAUCCGGGCGUUCGCCCGGUGCACUCUUCUGUAGGCAGGCCAGCAUCAGUUUGGGCGGUUGGAUAAAGGCCUCUGUCAUGUAUCUUCUCCGGAAGACCUUAUAGGGGAGGCGUAAUGCAACCAGCCUGGACUGAGGUCCGCGCAUCUGCUAGGAUGCUGGCGUAAUGGCUGUAAGCGGCCCGUCUUGAAACACGGACCAAGGAGUCUAACAUCUAUGCGAGUGUUUGGGUGUCAAGCCCGAGCGCGCAAUGAAAGUGAACGGAGGUGGGAACCUUAGGGUGCACCAUCGACCGAUCCUGAUGUCUUCGGAUGGAUUUGAGUAAGAGCAUAGCUGUUGGGACCCGAAAGAUGGUGAACUAUGCUUGAAUAGGGUGAAGCCAGAGGAAACUCUGGUGGAGGCUCGCAGCGGUUCUGACGUGCAAAUCGAUCGUCAAAUUU
rnacentral:rRNA from 1 species